UGAAGACAAAGCACCUCGUGCUAUUUGUGGAGCCAAUGAUUUGUUCGGAUUCACGCCUGAACCUAUGGUUCCAACAUUUAAUGAAGGUGCAGUUGGUGUGAUAUUUUUCAAAUCUUUCUUAUGUGUUAUAUUUGUUGGUUUUAGGUGAUUUAAAUUAUGAUUUUUUCAGAAAAAUAUGAUGAAAAAACACCAGCAGAGAUUAGGAGAGAAAGAGACAAAAAAAAAGAUAUGCUGCUAUGUCAGCGAGUGAUAAGCAAGCUAAGAUAAUUAAAAAUCGCGUGAGACGUAACAUUAACAGGGUUAAUAAUGAGGAACAAUCCAAAGAAACGUUGCCCAAUCGUUGCUCACAAGCAUGCGAUGCUGAAGUUCCUAAACGCCCUACCACCAGGAGUACGACCCAAGGAAUAGUCAAACCCGAUGAAGGCAGCCGUCAGAGAAACAAUCGUAAACUAGGUCUAAACAGUGGAAAACCAGAAUUUGACUCUGGUAUUUGGGAACCAGAUGAUGAGAUGUUUGCUGCACAAGAAGGUACAAUCCAGUAUUUAUUUUUAUGCAUGAGAACACAUUCACUUGAUUCAGACAUAAAAACAAUAUAUCUAAAUAAUAAAAGGGUUUUUUACAGAGGAAGAUCUGAAUUGCAGAGCGCCAGAUAAUAGUGUUUUUGAUUAUGACUUUCUCGUAGAUGAUGAAGCAAGAGUCUAUUAUAAUAAUGGUUUGGAUUCAUUAUUAUUUCGAUUCAUUUAGUGUUCUACUGUGCAUCAUUGAAAUCUAAGUACAUGAUUGAUAUAUUGAUGCAGACGUUGAUUUCAGGACUACUCGGGAUCCAGAUGUGGUAAUCUUGGACAAUGAUCGUUACGAUCGAGUAUAUAGAGAUUUGCCCGCUCACUCUCUUGUAUUGAAGAAGGUUCUGAUAUGCGAGUAUUGCGGUGCUAUAAAGUUUCCAAGUGAGGGACCAGGUUUUUGUUGUAGGCAAGGAAAGGUUAAUAUAGUCAACACACCAGUUCCUGAUGAAUUGCGUCGACUUUUUAUUAGUCAAACGGAUAGAGAUGCGCUGUAUUUCAGAAAAAAUAUACGGUACUUCAAUUCACAUUUCUCUUUCACUAGCUUUGGAGCUACUGUGGAUCAACGGGUCGCUACUG